rnacentral:rRNA from 1 species
CGCUAGCUACAGGCUUAACACAUGCAAGUCGAGGGGCAUCAGGAAGAAAGCUUGCUUUCUUUGCUGGCGACCGGCGCACGGGUGAGUAACACGUAUCCAACCUGCCCUUUACUCGGGGAUAGCCUUUCGAAAGAAAGAUUAAUACCCGAUAGCAUAAUGAUUCCGCAUGGUUUCAUUAUUAAAGGAUUCCGGUAAAGGAUGGGGAUGCGUUCCAUUAGGUUGUUGGUGAGGUAACGGCCCACCAAGCCUUCGAUGGAUAGGGGUUCUGAGAGGAAGGUCCCCCACAUUGGAACUGAGACACGGUCCAAACUCCUACGGGAGGCAGCAGUGAGGAAUAUUGGUCAAUGGGCGCUAGCCUGAACCAGCCAAGUAGCGUGAAGGAUGAAGGCUCUAUGGGUCGUAAACUUCUUUUAUAUAAGAAUAAAGUGCAGUAUGUAUACUGUUUUGUAUGUAUUAUAUGAAUAAGGAUCGGCUAACUCCGUGCCAGCAGCCGCGGUAAUACGGAGGAUCCGAGCGUUAUCCGGAUUUAUUGGGUUUAAAGGGAGCGUAGGUGGACUGGUAAGUCAGUUGUGAAAGUUUGCGGCUCAACCGUAAAAUUGCAGUUGAUACUGUCAGUCUUGAGUACAGUAGAGGUGGGCGGAAUUCGUGGUGUAGCGGUGAAAUGCUUAGAUAUCACGAAGAACUCCGAUUGCGAAGGCAGCUCACUGGACUGCAACUGACACUGAUGCUCGAAAGUGUGGGUAUCAAACAGGAUUAGAUACCCUGGUAGUCCACACAGUAAACGAUGAAUACUCGCUGUUUGCGAUAUACAGUAAGCGGCCAAGCGAAAGCAUUAAGUAUUCCACCUGGGGAGUACGCCGGCAACGGUGAAACUCAAAGGAAUUGACGGGGGCCCGCACAAGCGGAGGAACAUGUGGUUUAAUUCGAUGAUACGCGAGGAACCUUACCCGGGCUUAAAUUGCAGUGGAAUGAUGUGGAAACAUGUCAGUGAGCAAUCACCGCUGUGAAGGUGCUGCAUGGUUGUCGUCAGCUCGUGCCGUGAGGUGUCGGCUUAAGUGCCAUAACGAGCGCAACCCUUAUCUUUAGUUACUAACAGGUUAUGCUGAGGACUCUAGAGAGACUGCCGUCGUAAGAUGUGAGGAAGGUGGGGAUGACGUCAAAUCAGCACGGCCCUUACGUCCGGGGCUACACACGUGUUACAAUGGGGGGUACAGAAGGCAGCUAGCGGGUGACCGUAUGCUAAUCCCAAAAGCCUCUCUCAGUUCGGAUCGAAGUCUGCAACCCGACUUCGUGAAGCUGGAUUCGCUAGUAAUCGCGCAUCAGCCACGGCGCGGUGAAUACGUUCCCGGGCCUUGUACACACCGCCCGUCAAGCCAUGGGAGCCGGGGGUACCUGAAGUACGUAACCGCAAGGAUCGUCCUAGGGUAAAACUGGUGACUGGGGC